AGUUUUUGUUUUUUUAGUUAUAAUCAGCCUUUUAAUUUCACCAAUCAGGAGGUCUAUUAUGGCUUUGGAUUCGGCUAAAAAAGCAGAAAUUGUUGCGAAAUUCGCUAGAAAACCC
rfam:Campylobacter cuniculorum LMG 24588, complete genome.